GCUUACGGCCACACCGCCUGGUUCACGCCCGAUCUCGUUUGAUCUCGGAAGCUAAGAUAGGUUGGGCCUGGUUAGUACUUGGAUGGGAGAUUGCCUGGGAAUACCAGGUGCUGUGGCUU
rnacentral:rRNA from 1 species